rnacentral:rRNA from 1 species
AUUGAACGCUGACGGCAUGCCUUACACAUGCAAGUCGAACGGCAGCACGGGAGCUUGCUCCUGGUGGCGAGUGGCGAACGGGUGAGUAAUACAUCGGAACGUACCCUGAAGUGGGGGAUAACGUAGCGAAAGUUACGCUAAUACCGCAUAUUCUGUGAGCAGGAAAGAGGGGGAUCGCAAGACCUCUUGCUUUAGGAGCGGCCGAUGUCGGAUUAGCUAGUUGGUGAGGUAAAGGCUCACCAAGGCGACGAUCCGUAGCGGGUCUGAGGGGAUGAUCCGCCACACUGGGACUGAGACACGGCCCAGACUCCUACGGGAGGCAGCAGUGGGGAAUUUUGGACAAUGGGCGCAAGCCUGAUCCAGCCAUGCCGCGUGAGUGAAGAAGGCC